rnacentral:rRNA from 1 species
GAUUAAUACCGGAUAGUAUACGAAUAUCGCAUGAUAUUUUUAUUAAAGAAUUUCGGUUAUCGAUGGGGAUGCGUUCCAUUAGUUUGUUGGCGGGGUAACGGCCCACCAAGACUACGAUGGAUAGGGGUUCUGAGAGGAAGGUCCCCCACAUUGGAACUGAGACACGGUCCAAACUCCUACGGGAGGCAGCAGUGAGGAAUAUUGGUCAAUGGGCGAGAGCCUGAACCAGCCAAGUAGCGUGAAGGAUGAAGGCUCUAUGGGUCGUAAACUUCUUUUAUAUGGGAAUAAAGUUUUCCACGUGUGGAAUUUUGUAUGUACCAUAUGAAUAAGGAUCGGCUAACUCCGUGCCAGCAGCCGCGGUAAUACGGAGGAUCCGAGCGUUAUCCGGAUUUAUUGGGUUUAAAGGGAGCGUAGGUGGAUUGUUAAGUCAGUUGUGAAAGUUUGCGGCUCAACCGUAAAAUUGCAGUUGAAACUGGCAGUCUUGAGUACAGUAGAGGUGGGCGGAAUUCGUGGUGUAGCGGUGAAAUGCUUAGAUAUCACGAAGAACUCCGAUUGCGAAGGCAGCUCACUAGACUGUCACUGACACUGAUGCUCGAAAGUGUGGGUAUCAAACAGGAUUAGAUACCCUGGUAGUCCACACAGUAAACGAUGAAUACUCGCUGUUUGCGAUAUACAGUAAGCGGCCAAGCGAAAGCAUUAAGUAUUCCACCUGGGGAGUACGCCGGCAACGGUGAAACUCAAAGGA